rnacentral:rRNA from 1 species
UACGGGAGGCAGCAGUGGGGAAUAUUGGACAAUGGGCGAAAGCCUGAUCCAGCCAUGCCGCGUGUGUGAAGAAGGUCUUCGGAUUGUAAAGCACUUUAAGUUGGGAGGAAGGGCAGUAAGUUAAUACCUUGCUGUUUUGACGUUACCGACAGAAUAAGCACCGGCUAACUUCGUGCCAGCAGCCGCGGUAAUA